UAUUGCAGUGUUUAGCAAUUAAAAUCCACAUAUUAUGAAUGGCAAAAAGUAACACACUGUAUUGUCGAUCGCGACCAUAUCGACUAUAUCAAUACUCUUUUCUACUUCGUAGUAUAGAUCUCGCUUCGAGAAUUAAUUCGAUCACAAAUUUGUAGGGGUUAAGUACGAGCGGAUAUGAGCGGUCAAAUUAUCUCACAUUUAUUUUUUUUGAGAGAGACAGGUAGCACGCUACCCGCUUCGUUUAUUUUAUUUAGAAAUAAACUUAACUGUAAAUGUGAAUCAACUAGGAUUCGAAUUUGGAUCUCCGAUAUCAACCACCAAGCUCUCUGCCACUUGCUCUAGAACGGUCGGUAAAUUAUCUAACACAUUGACAUUUUUGUUUUGUUGUUUUAUCAUAUGUUUGAUUUU
rnacentral:lncRNA from 1 species